rnacentral:rRNA from 1 species
ACGCACGCUGGCGGCAUGCCUAACACAUGCAAGUCGAACGAGACCUUCGGGUCUAGUGGCGCACGGGUGCGUAACGCGUGGGAACCUGCCCUUAGGUUCGGAAUAACUCCCCGAAAGGGGUGCUAAUACCGGAUAAUGUCUUCGGACCAAAGAUUUAUCGCCUUUGGAUGGGCCCGCGUUGGAUUAGCUAGUUGGUAGGGUAAAAGCCUACCAAGGCGACGAUCCAUAGCUGGUCUGAGAGGAUGAUCAGCCACACUGGGACUGAGACACGGCCCAGACUCCUACGGGAGGCAGCAGUGGGGAAUAUUGGACAAUGGGCGAAAGCCUGAUCCAGCAAUGCCGCGUGAGUGAUGAAGGCCUUAGGGUUGUAAAGCUCUUUUACCCGGGAUGAUAAUGACAGUACCGGGUGAAUAAGCUCCGGCUAACUCCGUG